rnacentral:lncRNA from 1 species
GGGCUGAUACAUCCAUUAUGACAGUCAUGUAUACACACACAUUAUUAUAUAUGACUAGCUAGCGAUGGCGUAGAGGCCAACAGGGGAUAUUGUAUUUUAUCAGCACACAUAUCACAAAGGAAUUCUUUGGAAUAUGUUUUCAAAUCUUGAUGGACAUCGUUAACUGGGAUUCCGACAUUGGCGGAUGAUGUCAUGCAAAGGACAUACCGGUGACGAUAACCACACACGUAACAUGUAGAUCGCCGCACGAUGAAGUCAUGUGAGAUUGAGUGUCAUUUGGUCAUGCUUGUAGACCUCGUGAUGAAAAAACACCAUUUUAACAAAGGAUUUAAAUGUCCCAGUUCCAGACAGGAUGGUAUCGGCAGGAGGCAGCUUUCUACGGGAAACCCUUGUGCCAAUGUUCUUCUUAUUUCUCGUCAUGAACAAUGCCUCAUUUUCGAAUUCCAUGUCUAUUCCAAAUAAUGUCGAACAAAACGUCACAAUUUUUACCGACACAACUGUCCAAUCACAUUCCACGAAGGCUGACCGUUGCAUACAGUGCAUACUGCCAUCUGGCGAGGAUUUCAAACAUAACGCAUUUAUCAAAAGGCCGCCGGAGACCUACAUAGCGUAUAAAGAAAGCACCGCUAAAUUCGAAUGCAUUCCUAGGUCAUUUAACAACUCUAAUGGUGAUGUCACCGUCACAUGGACAAUUCCGUUUUCUGUUCCGGUGACGACAUAUGAUAAACUACAUUCCCAGGAUGCAACGGGGGCGUUUAUAACUCCAAACAGCUCUAUUUUGAUUAUGAAAAAUGUGCAGCCCGAGUUCUCCGGAAUUUAUCAGUGCGUGGUGGAGACUUCGGAAAGUACUAUAAUAGCUGAAAUGGACUUGGUCGUUCGGAUAUAUUUUGUGGACAUGUACAGCUGGCUCAUCGCGGGAAUUCCUGGUUUUUUACUCGUAGCCAUGUGUUUAGUUAUCGUCUUCUUUUAUUGCAAAAUCGAAAAAAAUCGCAGGGAGUUCUAUCGUGCACGUCGAAUUAUUAAAGAACAACAAGUUUUAUACAAGUAUUAACGUUUCGAUAUGUCAUUUAAUAUUUCUUUUAAAUAAAGCAGAACUUGAUAGCUGCAUAUUUUAUUCGAUUAUUUGUCAAUUUCUUUAACUAAAUACAUGUAAAUUAUUUUCGUCCUCUGAGCUAUGAAAUUCGAAAUACUUGAAAUAGGACAAUUCAGGGAAACCCGGAACGCUGCACUUACAGGCGUUGCUUUAACAUAUCAGCGAAAACCGCCAUUGUUAAUCCAAAGGAUUCUUUAAACAAACUGUCUCCUAUUUUAUAGAUGUAUUUGUAGUCUCUGCUUGUGCAACCAAACAGCCUUUCGAAUAUGGAAAAAAACGAAUCUGUCAAAAUGAUGUGCUGAUCCCCUAUACCUUUGACUAUACAUAAAUGCGACCGUUAUGUC